rnacentral:rRNA from 1 species
CUUAAGCAUAUCAAUAAGCGGAGGAAAAGAAACCAACAGGGAUUACCUCAGUAACGGCGAGUGAAGCGGUAACAGCUCAAAUUUGAAAUCUGGUCCUUUCAGGGCCCGAGUUGUAAUUUGUAGAAGAUGCUUUGGGUGUGGCCCCGGUCUAAGUUCCUUGGAACAGGACGUCAUAGAGGGUGAGAAUCCCGUAUGUGACUGGGUGCUUUCGCCCGUGUAAAGCUCUUUCGACGAGUCGAGUUGUUUGGGAAUGCAGCUCAAAAUGGGUGGUAUAUUUCAUCUAAAGCUAAAUAUUGGCCAGAGACCGAUAGCGCACAAGUAGAGUGAUCGAAAGAUGAAAAGCACUUUGGAAAGAGAGUUAAACAGUACGUGAAAUUGUUGAAAGGGAAGCGCUUGCAACCAGACUUGCAGGGCGUCGAUCAUCCGGGGUUCUCCCCGGUGCACUCGGCGUCUUUCAGGCCAGCAUCGGUUUUGGGGGUGGGAUAAAGGCCUUGGGAAUGUAGCUUCUUUCGGGGAGUGUUAUAGCCCUCGGUGCAAUGCCGCCACCCGGGACCGAGGACCGCGCUUCGGCUAGGAUGCUGGCGUAAUGGUUGUAAGCGACCCGUCUUGAAACACGGACCAAGGAGUCUAACAUCUAUGCGAGUAUUUGGGUGUUAAACCCAUAUGCGGAAUGAAAGUGAACGGAGGUGGGAACCCGUUAGGGGGCACCAUCGACCGAUCCUGAUGUCUUCGGAUGGAUUUGAGUAAGAGCAUAGCUGUUGGGACCCGAAAGAUGGUGAACUAUGCCUAAAUAGGGUGAAGCCAGAGGAAACUCUGGUGGAGGCUCGCAGCGGUUCUGACGUGCAAAUCGAUCGUCAAAUUUGGGUAUAGGGGCGAAAGACUAAUCGAACCAUCUAGUAGCUGGUUCCUGCCGAAGUUUCCCUCAGGA